GAUGAACGCUGGCGGCGUGCCUAAUACAUGCAAGUCGAGCGAACAGAUAAGGAGCUUGUUCCUUUGACGUUAGCGGCGGACGGGUGAGUAACACGUGGGUAACCUACCUAUAAGACUGGGAUAACUUCGGGAAACCGGAGCUAAUACCGGAUAACAUUUGGAACCGCAUGGUUCUAAAGUGAAAGAUGGUUUUGCUAUCACUUAUAGAUGGACCCGCGCCGUAUUAGCUAGUUGGUAAGGUAACGGCUUACCAAGGCGACGAUACGUAGCCGACCUGAGAGGGUGAUCGGCCACACUGGAACUGAGACACGGUCCAGACUCCUACGGGAGGCAGCAGUAGGAAAUCUUCCGCAAUGGGCGAAAGCCUGACGGAGCAACGCCGCGUGAGUGAUGAAGGGUUUCGGCUCGUAAAACUCUGUUAUUAGGGAAGAACAAAUGUGUAAGUAACUGUGCACGUCUUGACGGUACCUAAUCAGAAAGCCACGGCUAACUACGUG
rnacentral:rRNA from 1 species